AGAACGAACGCUGGCGGCAGGCUUAACACAUGCAAGUCGAACGCUCGUAGCAAUACGGGAGUGGCAGACGGGUGAGUAACACGUGAGUAAUCUGCCCCUAGCUCUGGGAUAGCUCCGGGAAAACCGGGAUUAAUACCGGAUACGACCACUUUAGACAUCUGUUGUGGUGGAAAGAAUUUUGGCUAGGGAUGAGCUCGCGGCCUAUCAGCUUGUUGGUGGGGUAAUGGCCUACCAAGGCGACGACGGGUAGCCGGCCUGAGAGGGCGACCGGCCACACUGGGACUGAGACACGGCCCAGACUCCUACGGGAGGCAGCAGUGGGGAAUAUUGCGCAAUGGGCGAAAGCCUGACGCAGCGACGCCGCGUGGGGGAUGAAGGCCUUCGGGUUGUAACCCCUUUCAGCAGGGACGAAGCGAAGUGACGGUACCUGCAGAAGAGCGCCGGCUAACUACGCGCCAGCAGCCGC
rnacentral:rRNA from 1 species